rnacentral:lncRNA from 1 species
GGGGAGUAAAAUCCUGGAUGGCCAAAAGCAAAGAAGCAACUCGUGGCUUUGGUGAUGUUGUAGCCCGGAAUACCGACCAAUCCGCAAGCUCCUGUUUAUUCAGUCUCGCACGAUGGGGUCUGGCCGUCGCCCCAUUCAGACUGAUUUAUCAUCCAGCUUUUUAUUGAAAAGCGUUUGAUAUGAGAUAUGAUAUUGCUGACACUGACGUGGACAUCAGGUGUGUCGAAUCUGCUGUCGAGACCAAAGAUAUGUACUUUACUCUCAUAGAGGAGCAAAAGAAACCAGAAAAUAUUCACAUUUAAGAAGCUAAAAUCAGAGAAUUUGGAUUUUCCCCCAAUCAAAACCAAUUCAUUAAAUAUAGUUGGCGAUUAAUUUAGUCGUUGAUGAUUUAUUGAUUAAUCGAUUAACUGUAGCAGCUCUAAUUCCAGACCUUGAGCACCUCAGGUAAUUACGGAUGUUCCUUGAAUGCAUCACCUGCCCAGGUAGCGCUGCUGCACACAAGUAAUUCUUUUUUUUCUUUCUACGCAGCUGAGAAACUCCGUCGAGCGGGUUUUUUUCUCCUGGAUAUUGCGGAUAAUCCUGUCGUGCUGCGGGUGGUGGAUGGUGAUGUCAACUCACCUGGAUACUGAUCCCGUGGACCAGAGGAGUGGUGGGAGAGGAACCACUUUUCACGACAUAAGCAGCUGUGGGGCUUUUAUGGAAAAAUGUCCCCACUUUUCCGACCUUCCCCCAGGAGGCAGGAUACCUGGUUGAGUGAGACUGCCUUCCUGACUGAGAGCACCACUCAAAGAAUCCAGACUGUGGCUCCAAUCCAGUUGCCCUCUUUAAUAGAUUCACAGUGUUAUAUUAGAAGUAAGAAGAUUGAGGCUGCGGUCACAGCGGUAUUUCAACUUGAAUGGCACUCAGUAAAGCACAUAUGCCUCUGCCAAGGCCCAACAGUCCCUCAAUCAAGUCGCACCAAAUUGCACACACUCAUAAAAAUCAGUCUCUUGAAUAUUGCCAGAUUUUGUUUCCCCCAUCAAGAUCCCUGGGAAAUUGGUGAAAAUGUACAAUAAAAAUCAGCACAAAAAUGUAAUGUUUUUAUUUCUUGGCCCAUGUCCCAUCAAGUUUCGUGGAAAUCUUUUCAGUUGUUUUUGCAUCGAACAAACGGGAAAACAAGGGCGGCAACCUCCUCAGUUGACGUGAUAACAAGAAAUUUCUGCCUGACAUAAUCACUUAAUUUGGACGGAAUAGUGGCAAUCGGUUGAUUUGUUCCAUCGGUCAUUACAAUCCUUCUUGAAAGUGCUGAAAAAGAAGAAAGAAAAAAAUAAAUAAAGGAAGGAAGGAAGCCAUCGUACCAGCACUAAAACAUCUUUUUUUUUAGGAGAUCGUGUGUUUUAUAAUCCACCCACCUUCGUAUUCUUGCUCUGGUUUAAUGUUGUAUGUAAUGUUGCACUAUUCUUUUCUUCCUGGUCCAUGAGAAACAACAUUUCAUGCAGCCGUUCACUUUGUGUGAGGAUGAAUGACAGUGAAGUUAACUUGACUUUAGUUGAAGGGUUUGAGUUUGAAAAUAGAGUAGAACCCCCGUAAAUAGUCAGCGUGUCACCGACAAGCAGCACCACGAGGAUGGACUAAUGAACUUUCUGGUUUGCUAUACUUAAGAGCGCUGGCAUCAUAAUUUAAACACAUUCACGACAAAGCAAUCGAUCAGAGAUGCACCAAAAAGAAACGAAACAAAAUUGAUAACAAAAUCAAAAGAUUAAAAGACGAAUUUGCUACUGGCCCCAGAUGAAUAGCGCUCACAAACUUUGUUCCACGACCGCUGUAGUAAA